ensembl:lncRNA
AUGCGCGGUGUGCAAUCUACCGGAGCGCGAGAGGUAGGGAAGGGAGUCCUAAUGGCGGAGACUGUACGGUCGCCUUUUGACUACCGGGAACCACCGACCCUCGACAGCGACGGGGAUGGGAGCAAACCGCCGCCGCCAAGGGGCCGCGUGUGUGGGAGAAAAAGGAAGGGGACACCUGUGAAGGUGUGUGACCGAGCGUAUGUAACAGAAGAUGAGGAGGAGGAGAGCAUGUCAGAACACAGCUACAGCCCUGGUGAUAGCCAGUAUCCAGAGGGUGCAGAAGACCGCCUCCCUCCACCUGGCAGUCCCUACUACCUGCCCGAUCCCACUCAGCUCUGUGUGCCAGAGUUGGGGGAGGAGGGAGCGAGCGGUGUCCGGGGACCUGUGCUCUUCCAUCCGCCACCAAACUGCCGGAUUCGAGAAGUCCACUGUGGGACCCAGGUGCGGUUGGUUGUCAUAGCAAUCCGAGACAUCGCCAAAGGGGAGGAGAUCACAGUGGACUACAGCCUCACGGACUGGGGCGAGAAUGCAAUGGAAGAAGAGGCCGGCCCCCACCCACUGUCCCUCUCUGUUUCUGAUUACCUUACCCCCUCCUGGUCAUUAUCACCCUCAUCUUCCCCUCUCACCCACUCUGAGCCCAGUGACUCAGACCGUGAGGAGGACGAAGAGGAGGAAGACGAUGACGAUGACGACGACGAUGAAGAAGAGGAAAUGGAGGAGAUAAGGGGACGAAUGCUCCGCCGCCGCAAGAAGCGCAAGCUGCCCGCGGUGGUUAAUUCAAAGAAGAAAACCACGCCCCCAUCCUCCAGAGGACCCGGGCGCCCCUGCUCAUCCUUUUCCCGCCCAGCACCUGUCACACCCCCAGCCAGAUCCCAGUCCCAGACCCCGGUUGGCACCCUGGCACCCCCGACCACCAACAUCAACAACAACAUUAAUAUAAACAUUGCCAGCUCCAGCAGUGCCACAGUGAGCCGGCGGCAGCACUGCCCGUACUGCGGACGCCACUAUCGCUCUCUGGCACGCCACCUGGAAAAGCACCACGCCAACCAGCCAGAGGUCAGAACAGCCAUGGAGCUGGCACACAUGCACAGCUCUUCAAAUGGCAGCGCCGCACACCCUAACCCCUCAUCGUCCUCCACCUCCGCAACAACUCAUUCCUUUGCUGUCCCUCAGUCCUCGGCCUCCAACCCUGCUCCACCGUCUCUCUUCUCUAGGGAAAAGGAAUCACCGGCUACACGCUCGAGCACAGGCGGCGUAUCGUUCUCCCUCUCGCUUUCGCCGCCUUCUUCAGCUCAGCCCGCGGCCACCAAGAAAGGUCCCAGCUUACCGCUGCCCACCACAAAACGCCCUGCACCCCCAAUGGUGUCACGGGUAAAGAGUCCGUCACCGCCUCCCCCGUCUACACCCAGAAGGGGUCGGAGGAUGAAGAAAGAAAAGCAUGAAGAGCAGCAAAAAGUGGAGGUGGAGAGCUCGAGAAGUCAAGAAGAGCUGGUUCCACCUCCUACUCCAGAGCCAGACGUUGAUCCAGACGAAGAUCUGGAGCUAAGUGCAGAAGGAGAAGAUGAUGCACCAGAGGAAAAGAAUGGAGAGAUUGUAAGACAUCACAUGUCUCCACUGCUCUCGUCCCUUUCCUGUUUGGUCGUCUACCUCCGCUGUCAGCAGCACUCCUCUUUCCUUGCUUUAACCCGUUCUCCUCACUCUGCCGAGGCCUGGCGCCUGCUCUGCCAUUCCAGCCUCUCCCUGCUUAUCCUCUACAACCGCCACCGGGAAUGUGAGGUGGCCAAGCUCACUCUCCAGGACUACCGCAACCGUAUCACUCCCCAGGCCAGCUCUAGCAGCAGCCCCCCCUCCGGCAUGGAAGCCCUCCUGUCACCCUUUGAGCGCCAGGUCCUCUCUCACCUCCCGCGGGCUGGUGUUUUGGGCAAGCGUGGUCGCAUCCAGCCGCUUAUUUUUCCGCCACACUGUGAGUCCUGCCUGGACCUACUCCUUCAAACCAGCCCCAAUGUGGGUGUAGACCCAGAGAGUCCCUAUGUCUUCUCCCGGCCCUACCACUCUCCUGCUACCCCGCUGCGCGGCACGGACCUUCUGAGAAAUCUGGCACGAGCCAGUGGGGCCAAGAACCCCGGAGCACUGACAGCGACACGUGUGCGGCGGCAGGUAGCAAUACUCACUCAACUGCUACUAUUAGAGGAGGGUGAGGGCCAGGGUAGUGCUACCAAACGGCUGGAGGACUUCCUGGAACGAGAGUACCAUGUGACCCAAAACUGUUCCGCAAUCCUACGGGAUCCAGCACUGAUGGGUCGUGUGGGUCGUGUUGUUCUUUAUGGAGAGAAAGAGGGCGUGCUUUUCCGAGGGAUGAGCUUGCAGCACAUCUGCCUCGAGUUGGAUGUAAUGUCUGGCAACUCAGCUGACUCCUUUUCAGAAGAUUCAGAACCAGAGGAAGAAAAGGAGGAAGUUAAAGCUGAGGUGAUGGUGAAGAAGAAAGGACCAGGGCGACCGCCACGGAAGAGGAGAGCACCCAUUCCCUCUCCAGUCAGCCCAUCAAUAGCCAAUGUUCAUAAGAGGAGAUGUAUUCCGCCCAAAUCAGGGAAGCGCGGUGUGCUGAAGCGUCCCUGGUCAGAGGCAGAGCGUGUAGCAGUGGAGACUCACCUAAAGAGAAACCUCAUGGAGCUGCGUGUCCCUGCAAAGGCGGACUGUGAACGCUGCCUCGAACUCUGCCCUCUGCUGGUGAGCAACCAGCGAGACUGGAGGGCCAUCAAGUUUUACGUCCACAACCGCAUCCAGCUGCUGAAGAAGCAGGGGAGGAGGGAAAGCGCUGCCUCGGUCUGCUAGGGGAAAACACAGACAUGGCAGAGGACAGACACCAUAAUGUAUAAACCACCAGCAAUCAUAAUGAAGAGGGAAAAAAGGCCUGGGUCAUGGUGGAGUGCAGCUUCUCCUUUUUCUAUCCUUUUAUGGCUGCGGCACCUGAAAGUUAGGUGCAAGCCCCGUGUCAUCACCCGGGUCAUAAGCGAGUAGUGUAAUAAAACUGACUUAAGCUAAGAAAACAGAUGCUCCACUUAAGGAUCAUUCGUGCUCAGUGUUCGGGAUGCCCAGUGUCUGUUAUGAGAUGUAUUUUUAAGCGGUUGGACAAGAUGUACUCUUUCUGAAAAAUGUGAAGGUUCAGACACAGUGAAUGCUUUUUUUUCCUUUGAGAUUAUCUUUCAUAUCAUCUUUACUUUAUUAGAUAGUUGGCAGUGGAGAGCGGUAGGAGAUACAGGAGAGAGAAGGUGAAGUUCCUGAAGCGAUACCAACCCAGGAGGUUGCAGUAUGCACUUUAGACCACCAGGACACGCUACAGCAAAUGAUCCUUGGUCUAGUGUUUGCUUCCACUGAAGGCUGAUGACCAAACAUGAAUGUGUAAAGCUUUGGGAGCAGAAACCAAUGGUUCUAAUCUUUAAAAUCCCCACAGAUAGACUGCAUGUCUUCAGGACUGAGACGUGUAUGAACUUGUAUAGUUUGUGUUUGAUAUUGACUGGCAUUGUACCCCCAACCCGUGGCCCCCAACUGAUGAGUGUAUUAAAGAGUAUUCUUCAAAGUGUUGGACCAUGAUGCAGUCAAUGUGAAGUGGUUCUUGCAUAUCCCUUAUACCAUGAUCAUAGUCAGAGUAGUAUGUAUCAAGGCACGCCUACUUGAAUUUAUUGCGUAUCAGAAUUACAAAAAAAAUUACCUAUGGUCUUAUUCACAAUGUAAAUACUUCCUAAUCUAUGAAAAGUAUACAGUAGUGAUUACAAAGUUAGUAUUGUGUUAUGGUGUAUAUACUGUAAAUACUACCUGUACUUAUUAAAGUGUAUGACAUUUUGCUGUGUUUUCUUAAACUGGGUUGUAUAGUGAGUUUUACAUUGUGGAUGCAGAGUGACACGAACAAAAUAGAAAUAACAAAUAAAUACAGGAUCCCAUAUUGAGUUUAUUCAAAUAUCUUAUUUUAAGAAUCAUACAUUCAAACAUCGAGCUCACUGGAAACAAGAUUAUAAAAGGAAGAAAAAAUACAAAUGACAUUAUGUAAAACAACACCGAAGGUGAACUGUAAUUUGAAUACUGGCCAUAAACUCAGCUUCAAAGUUUAGCUGCCUUAGUCCAUGUUAGGUAUAUUGAAUAUAUAUGCAUUUGCACACAAAACACAUGCACAAGUGUAUUAGUGGUAGUAAUUUGUAAGUCAUAAUAAUCCCUUUUGUAAGUCAGUUUCUAAAUAGUUUGCUGCAGUAGUUGUCAGUUAUUUCACACCUAGGCAAUUCAGUGAGACAUACCUGGAGUUCAAAGUCUGAGACUGUGGGCCUCCGCUCAGACAACGCUUGUAAAGUUAGUUUACUAACUUACCUAUUACUAGUAAUUCCUGCAUGCCUAUGGGAUCAUGAUUAUGUUAUUUGAUCCCAUAGACACUCAAUAAUUGAGCCUAGAUAGCCUCUAGUUAAAUAUAUAUAUAUAUAUAUAUAGGAGGUACGUAUAUUAUAUUAUUAUAUUAUUGUUGUUUGACAUAACUUCAGACUACCCCAAAUAUAUUUUUUAAAAAUAACAAAAGGUCUAACUUAAGGAAUUUAUUAGGUUCUGUCUCUUGGAAAGUAGGGAAAACUGUAAAAUUCCUCAAUAUUACUGUAUCUCUGAACUAUCUCUUUAACCAAUUAACAUAAGUAUAGGAUAUGUGAUUUCCUACAUAAUUUAGAUUGUUUCACUUCCCUUCACUGACUGUAGAAAAGGCCCCAAAGUUGGGACAUAUUAUGUUUAGUGUGUGAUUUCAUAGAUGUAGUGUUGGUCAGCUCAUAUAAGAGCGCCCCCCCCCUCCCCCUGCUGGUUAUAUAGCGUAACUGACGGUACUUGGUCAGAGAGGUGUGUGCUCCGGUGAGACGGCAGAGUGAGGGAUUCACGGUUCAAUUAACAAUUAACGCCACGGCAAGUGGUCUGCGCGUGGAUGGAAAGUGAGUAUGUCCGGAUAUAUUGUUGAUGUACUGUGUUUACGUUGCUGCAGCUAUAGUUUAUUUGUUGUUCUGAUGUGUAGCUGUCAGACUUGCCAUGUGGUCACUGUUUAAGCUAGUUGUAGCAUUUAGCUCACCUGCCUCUGAUCAAGUGUACGUCACGUCACAUGUUACGUUAUUGUUAUCGCUCCGACUCGCUAGUGUAAUGCUUACAGUGAGUGUUACUUAAAUAUUACCAUGUGAUGUUGUUUAUAUGUGUGUUAAUAUGCUAGUAAGUUAGGUGAAGAGUGUUUCAGGACUGUUAUUUUGGGGAUGUAGUAAUUUCAGUACUCCUUUAGUAUGUUUAUUAGUGAUUAAGAGCUUUAUUCUUAUUCAUUUGUGUAUAUUUGUUAUUGUUCCUUUGCUAUAGAAAAACCACAUGACCUCAUUGCCAGCAAGAGGAUAUUAAACCACCUGCACUAUCCGUCACCUGCUUCUUCAUUGUGGACCUCUGAGCAUUACUUAGCCUUAAGUUGGUGUUCUGGCCGGCACCCCGGUGUGAACUCAGUGAUAGCCCCUGAACUAACGCCAUAUACAGUAACAUCCCAGUGUCUUCACUACACUGACCCUCCACUGAAACUGUUGGGAGACCCUCUGGGGAGGAUCCGCCUCCCAUUUUGAAAACCUCUUAGCUAUAUGGAGAAAGUGGAGAGAAGACAAUAAAACCUAUGACUAGGGAACUUAGUGACUAUAGUUACCAUGGCAGCUGGAAAUAUGUAAUAGCACAAAGUCUGUUUUUUCAAAAAAAUAAAAAUUAAGGAACAUACUUCAGAUAAUUAUAAUAGGCUCAAAACACAGGAGAAUCAAUUCUACAUUUCACACAAUAGAGCCUACAAAGCCAGUUAAGAAAAGAGGGUGUUCCCUUAUAAAUGAUUAAAAAAAUGCACAAAAUCUUUUACUCUUAAACCCUUUGGAAUCUAAAUGAGUACCUCUGUGAUAUUUAAAAGUUAUAGGACCAAAAGGCAUGAGACUAGCUAUGAAUCACCAAAAUAACCACACAUGAUGAGCAAUAUAAAUUAAAACAUUUCAAAGGCAAUAUUUGAGAACAAUAAAUUAGAAUGUUGGGCAGUAACCCAUUACUAGUAAUAAUAUUACAGUAAUAAUAUGACUAUCCCCAGCAUCUAUUAGUGUAACUAAUUACUUUUUCAAUUUCAGUAAUAAUAUUACAGUUACCACCCAAAAAAAAUUCUUACAAUAUUCAUUUUGUUAGCACCCAAUUAUCAAUUUUGUGGGAAAAGUAAUAUAACUAGUAAUGUAACUACUUACUUUUGUCAGGGAUUAAUAUGUACCGUAAUAUUACUUUUGAAAAGAGUAAUAACACACUGCACAUAGGAUAUACAACAUUCUAAUUAGUGAAUGAAUGAAAUAAAUGUACAUGUCAAUGCAUAUUUACAGUGUAUAUACAAAAGCAUGUAUGUAAUUAUAUAUAUAAGCAAUUAUGCUUAGGGCACCAAAAUAUCUAGCAGUGGCCCUUGGUCAAACUAUAUACUUAACAAUACCAUAAACUACAAACUACAAACUACAAAAUGUCAAUCCAUUUAAACUGUCACAUCUUACAGCUUCAACAAAAAACAUCAUUAUGAUCGUUACAAAAGUCAUAUUUAAGAUUUACCGUCACAGGGCAGAAGUAGUGUUGGUAACUUUUGAUGUUUAAAACAUUUUUACUCAUUUAGUUCAUGUUUUAUAUGUAUUUGUAUUACAUACUGUAUAUAUGUAUUGUAUGUUUAUAUAGUGUGUUGGUUUUUAUGUUAGCUUUAUCAUUGAAAUAAUCAUUUUAAUACCUGCUUUUAAGUUGAAAACGGUUGAGUUUUUAUGUUUUUGGUUCGACUUCCUGCCUGAAAUUUGCUGGACUGAUUAUCAUUAUUAACUUGCAUCUGGUCAGACAUGAUUUUUAUUAUUUUAGGGCUUUUUAUACCAGACAGGGAAGAGGGGGGAGAGAGAGAGAGAGGGAGAGAGAGAGAGAGAGAGAGAGAGACAGGAUGCGCCUCAGCUGUGAAUUUUAAUACACAAUGAAACCAACCAAUCAGACAGGAGCGCUGACCCGUAAUGAACCAACAGGCAGCUAAGGGGCGGGACGAAGCAGGUAAAAACACAGAAAAGAGCAGACACAACAAGAGGGAGACGACGCAGAGGAGAAGCAGCAGGAACAACAGCAG